rnacentral:tRNA from 1 species
GGGCUAGUAGCUCAGUGGUAGAGCGCUACUCUUAUAAAGUAGAUGUCCUUGGUUCGAUCCCAAGCUAGCCCA